rnacentral:rRNA from 1 species
AUUGAACGCUGGCGGAAUGCUUUACACAUGCAAGUCGAACGGCAGCACGGGGCAACCUGGUGGCGAGUGGCGAACGGGUGAGUAAUACAUCGGAACGCGCCCAAUCGUGGGGAUAACGUAGCGAAAGUUACGCUAAUACCGCAUACGAUCUACGGAUGAAAGCGGGGGAUCGCAAGACCUCGCGCGAGUGGAGCGGCCGAUGUCAGAUUAGGUAGUUGGUGGGGUAAAGGCUCACCAAGCCAACGAUCUGUAGCUGGUCUGAGAGGACGACCAGCCACACUGGAACUGAGACACGGUCCAGACUCCUACGGGAGGCAGCAGUGGGGAAUUUUGGACAAUGGGCGCAAGCCUGAUCCAGCCAUUCCGCGUGCAGGAUGAAGGCCUUCGGUUGUAAACUGCUUUGUACGGUAACGAAACGGACGAGCUCUAAUACAGUUUGCUAAUAGACGGUACCGUAAGAAUAAGAC